AUGGCACACCCUUCCAAUGCAGGUCGCUUCCAUGACUAGACUUCAAAUAGGGGAGCUUAGUUUGCUUCUCAUCAUCAACUAUGGCCAUCUUUGCGAAUCGUGAAGGAUGUACAACCCGACAAAUUAAUCCUGGACAACGGAGAGGAGGUUCCUUAUGGUUUGCUUGUAUGGUCUACUGGAGUUGGUGCUUCAUCAUUCGUCAAGUCAUUGCCAUUUCCUAAGUCAGCUGGAGGAAGGAUCGGUGUAGAUGAGUGGUUACGUGUUCCUUCAGUGCCAGAUGUAUUCGUUGUUGGUGAUUGCUGUGGAUUCCUUGAAAGCACUCGCAAGGAAGUUCUC